rnacentral:lncRNA from 1 species
UACCUGUUCUGGUCAUAAGACCAAUCCAACGAUGACACAUAGACUAAACGUCCCCAAGACUAAGGCGUGUUCUGAAGUAACACGCCAGUAUCAGUGCACCUUACUCCACUGGAGCAUGCCCCCGUGCAUCAGACACCAUACAUGUGUCCUCUAACCGCCUCCUAAUCAUGCGCCACAUCUCACGAAAGCGGUUAUUCUCACAUACAUCCAUAUAAAGGUGACUUAACUUCACUUCAGGAUGAUUCACUUUUCCCACACUUUUUACACACUCCUUAUCAUUUUCUAUAGUGACUUGAGCGUUAGAGUGUUUACGUAGGGUGCCUGCAUACACAUUUCAUCAAACCGCGAAGAUUCGUCACCAUUAUAACGGAGCACUUUCCGCCGUUGUUGCCUCCAUCGGUUCUUCAUCGAACAGAUCAUAACCAUUAUGAAAAAACAAAAAUUGAGAUUGUGGGUAAUGGACACACUACCACACUCAUAAAUGCCACCAU